GUUUGCUUUUUUCCACACAUAUACUAAAAUUGGAACAAUACAGAGAAGCUUAGCAUGGUCCUUGCAUAAGAACAACAUGUAACUUUUACUGUUCCAUAUUUUU